UACGUAGGGUGCAAGCGUUGUCCGGAAUUAUUGGGCGUAAAGAGCUCGUAGGCGGUUUGUCGCGUCUGCUGUGAAAAUCCAGGGCUUAACCCUGGACCUGCAGUGGGUACGGGCAGACUGGAGUGCGGUAGGGGAGAUCGGAAUUCCUGGUGUAGCGGUGAAAUGCGCAGAUAUCAGGAGGAACACCGGUGGCGAAGGCGGGUCUCUGGGCCGAUACUGACGCUGAGGAGCGAAAGCGUGGGUAGCAAACAGG
rnacentral:rRNA from 1 species